rnacentral:lncRNA from 1 species
UGAUCACCACAUAUCACGCAUUUUUCCUUAGUUUAUCACUUGGUAUGUUCCUCAAACCCUUUCCCCUUCACUUUAGGACUUGCAUCUCAUGCUAGUUAGGGUUCAUUUGCGUGAAAAUCCCCUCCUGAUAAGGGAAACGAGCGAGUGUGGCUACUCGAUAGCCUUAGCACGCUAGUUUUACCUUCUAAUCCGAGGGAAAAUUAAAAUCAUAAAACUAGAGGUCAUCCCCGUAC